rnacentral:lncRNA from 1 species
CCUAGAUGGCGGCACCUCCUUUCCAUCCUGACUUGGAGGGGCUUCAUUUCAGACGGUUGAGACUUUUCCAAGCCAGGAUUGGGCUGAUGCAGGGGACCUCCUCCGAGCAAGAGGGUGCAUGCCAUGGAUGACAAAGGCAGGAGCUGCUCAGUCCAAACCCGGGUCCCCCAACCACCGUCUAGUGGACGUGUAACAUCGGGCAAGUGAUGCAGCUUUCCUCUCGCAUUUUCCUAUAAAAUGGAGCUAAAUAUAGUCCCUACCUUAUAGGGUUCUUAUGAGGAUUAAGUGAGUUAAUGUGGAAAAAUCUCUCACGACAGCAAUUGGUUAUUGGUGUCAUAUAAGGGGAAACAUGGACUUCCUCAGAUAAUGCCAACGAUUGACCCUUUCCUGCUGGGUAUGUCCAGACAGUAAAACUCCUCUGUGCUUCAGAAAGUAAAGAACUGGUUCCAUAGAUGUGGGACAUGAGCAGGGGUGGUGCUGUUGGAAAUUUUGCUUUUUUGUUUAAUGUGAACAAUACCAUUUGUUCUUGAGUGGUUUUGCCCAGGUAUUAUAGGCAAGGGGUCUUUGAAAAAUGAAUUUAUGGCCAGAAGUGGCUGUAUCUUCUCAAGCAAAGCCCUCGGUGUUUACUGAUACCAUCAGUAACUGAAGGCUAUUCUGGUUAGGGCUGAAAUUCUUUUCCUUUUACAGAAGUUGGAGACACCAGAUAAAAGACACUAAAAAGUUAUAAAGUAGAUUUAGUGUUGAGUACGUUCCAGCAUUCUCCAUUAAUUGUGUGGUUUCAAAUAGCAAAGGGCUACCUCCUCUUGAAGACAACUCAUGAGAGGAUCAUGGGGAGGAGAUGGGUCCUGGAGGACCAGGAGCAGGGAGACACAGCCAUUUCUGGGAAGAGCCCGUGGAAAGGGCAUCCAGCCAGACUCCAGAUCCCUCGUUUUUCCUUUGGCCAACUUCAUUGCAUCAACUUGUAGUUGAUGUACUACUAGCAAAUUGUAACAGUGUGUAGACUACUUAAUAGGCGAUCAAGUGGACCAAGAGGAAAAGUCGGACCUUCCUGGGGCACACAUGCAGGUAACAUGGAAACUGUAGUCACUUCCUGGUGCCACCUCUUAGCCAGGCGGUGUCCUUAGUGAUAUUGCUUAUGCCUUAUUCUCGCCCUGUGUGGUUACGAUCCUCCACUGCACAGGUAAUGAACAUGAGGCACUGAAGGUAACCUGCCCAGUGUCCCACAAGGCUGUGGUGUGAAUGUUUACAUCACCCAAAGCAUUGAAAUCCUAACUCCCAAGGUGGUGGUAUUUGGAGAUGGGGCAUUUGGGAGCAGAUAAGGUCAUGAGGCUGAAGCUCUCAUAGAUGGAAUUAGUGCCUUAUAAAAGAGGCCCCAAGAGAGACUGCUUGUCUGUCCCUUCCACUGCGUGAGAACACAGCAAUAAGGUACCAUCCACGAACCAGAAAAUGGGUCUUCAACAGACCCCAAAUCUGCCUUGACUGUGGACUUGCCAGCCUCUAGAACUGUGAGAAAUACAGUUUUGUUGCUAAUGAGCCACCCAGCCUAUGGUACUUUGCUAUAACAGCCCAAACAGACUGAGACACAGUGAGUGGACCCUGUGACGCCAGAGUCUGUCCCUUGGCCACCACUGUUGAAGGCCAAAAGGGUGAGGGUCGUGAUCAACUCAGUGCACCACUGGAGGCCAUAUGGGUAAACAGCAAACUGUUCUCAUGAAAGCAGGAUGUUGGCAAACUGACAAACUGCAUCUGCAGCCCAGAAGGAAUGCUGAGGGCAGUCACAACCCAGGCACAAGUGUUGCUUGGGAUUAGACGCAUCUGGAGCCUGUUAGCAAUAAUGUGAACCUGUGAUCAAUUAAGCAGCUGACCAGUCUCACCUCCUCCUCCCUGUUCUUUCUACCCAAUAAAUACAAAGGG